ACGGGAGGCAGCAGUGGGGAAUAUUGGGCAAUGGGCGCGAGCCUGACCCAGCAACGCCGCGUGAAGGAGGAAGGCUUUCGGGUUGUAAACUUCUUUUAUCAGGGACGAAGAAAGUGACGGUACCUGAUGAAUAAGCCACGGCUAACUACGUGCCAGCAGCCGCGGUAAUACGUAGGUGGCAAGCGUUGUCCGGAUUUACUGGGGGUAAAGGGCGCGUAGGCGGGAUAGCAAGUCAGAUGUGAAAUCCAUGGGCUCAACCCAUGAACUGCAUUUGAAACUGUUAUUCUUGAGUGUCGGAGAGGUAGAUGGAAUUCCUAGUGUAGCGGUGAAAUGCGUAGAUAUUAGGAGGAACACCAGUGGCGAAGGCGAUCUACUGGACGAUAACUGACGCUGAGGCGCGAAAGCGUGGGGAGCAAACAGGAUAGAUACCCUGGUA
rnacentral:rRNA from 1 species